CAACAGUUACUGAACCCUAUCAAACUCCGAAUGCCAUAUACUUGUACCCCGGCAGUCAGACUACGAAUGAUAAGAUCCGUGGUCAAAAGGGAAACAGCCCAGACCAUCAGCUAAGGUCCCAAAGUGUAAGUUAAGUGGGAAAGGAUGUGGGAUUUCUAAGACAACUAGGAUGUUGGCUUAGAAGCAGCCACUCAUUUAAAGAGUGCGUAAUAGCUCACUAGUCGAGAGAUCCUGCGCCGAAGAUGUAACGGGGCUCAAACUUACCACCGAAGCUAUGGAUGUGUACUUUGUACACGUGGUAGAGGAGCUUUCUGUACAGGUUGAAGUCAUACCGUAAGGAGUGGUGGACAGUACAGAAGUGAGAAUGCUGGCAUAAGUAGCGAAAAACAAGUGAGAAUCUUGUUGACCGAAUAUCUAAGGUUUCCUGGGGAAGGCUCGGCCUCCCAGGGUUAGUCGGGACCUAAGCCGAGGCCGAAAGGCGUAGGGGAUGGACAACUGGUUGAUAUUCCAGUACCA
rnacentral:rRNA from 1 species